CAUAAAUUGUGAUUGAAAAAAUGAUGGGUUAUUAUUCACAAAAACUGCAAAUGAAACUUUGAGCCAUGACAGAGCAAGGAUACAAUAAAAGCUUCGAACUGAAACUCCAUCAGGCCCAAACUAUGAAUGGCACAUUCUACAGGAUAAAACCUCAACAAACCCCUUACUGUAGAGAGAGACAGUAAUGGUCAAGGCCACCCACCUCGCACUGUGCUGGUAUUAGGAACAAGAAGAGUAGCUGGGAACUCUGGAUCACAUGCUUCCCCUGCACUUGGGCAUGGUUAGCAAGUCACUUUUCAGCCCAGUGAUAAUCAACACCAGCCGGGAGCUAAAAGUGCGCCACCUGAAAAAACAGCUUUUUGUUGAUGCCAAAUCUAUCCAUCCAGGGCACUCCCAGCUCUUCAACUUCAAAAGAGACAAGUAAACUCAGGUGAAAA